UGCUGCUGUGAUGACAUUUAUUUGCUACUCUUGAAAAUACACAUGUUGAAACUCUCAACCACCAGUUGACUUAUCUGAGGCA
rnacentral:snoRNA from 14 species